rnacentral:rRNA from 1 species
GACGAACGCUGGCGGCGUGCCUAACACAUGCAAGUCGAGCGGGGUUGCCUGCGGCACUGAGCAUUUAAACCUGCGGCGCCAAGCGUCAUGCAGAAACGACCGUGGAGUUGAUUUAAUUAAUUAAGAAGUUUCUGCAUCACGCGUUUGUAAGUGCCAACACAUGCAGCAGUAGCUGACAUGGAGGUUUAAGUGUUAAGUGCUGCAGGGCAACCUAGCGGCGGACGGGUGAGUAACGCGUGGGGUAACCUGCCUUGUACAGGGGGAUAACACUGGGAAACUAGUGCUAAUACCGCAUAAUAUCAUAGCGGGGCAUCCCGGUAUGAUCAAAGGAGGAAACUCCGGUACAAGAUGGGCCCGCGUUCCGAUUAGCUGGUUGGUGAGGUAAUGGCUCACCAAGGCGACGACGGGUAGCCGGUCUGAGAGGAUGUACGGCCACACUGGGACUGAGAUACGGCCCAGACUCCUACGGGGGCAGCAGUUGGGAUCUUAGG